rnacentral:rRNA from 1 species
UACGUAGGGGGCUAGCGUUGUCCGGAUUUAUUGGGCGUAAAGAGCGUGUAGGCGGCCAGGUAGGUCUGCUGUGAAAACUCGAGGCUCAACCUCGAGACGUCGGCGGAAACCAUCUGGCUAGAGUCCGGAAGAGGAGAGUGGAAUUCCUGGAUGUAGCGGUGAAAUGCGCAGAUAUCAGGAAGAACACCCGUGGCGAAGGCGGCUCUCUGGGACGGUACUGACGCUGAGACGCGAAAGCGUGGGGAGCGAACAGG